UGCCUUUCUUUAACCCUUUCUUAAUGUGUUUUUUAUCUUCUUUCUCUUGAAAUAAUGCAUAUUCACUUGUCUCUACAGUAGCAGAAGCUUCACAGAUGGCUUUCAUACAUUUCUGCUUGUAUUCUCUUACAUUAAGAGAAUCAAGUUCUAGAACUGCAUUAAGAACCCAAAAAUAAGAAUACUUCCAAGGAUGCACAUCAACAGGGCUUGAACAUGUUUUUUAAUAUUAUAUAUUUGGAUGUACUGUUAAUAAAUUAAAAGACAGUGAUAUUUCUCCCCAGAGUUAUUUAUGAAAACAUCUGGCUCAUUUAAUCUUAAGGUGCUACUCUAAAUUCCAGAACUUUAAUCUCUGAAGUUAUUUAUAUUACAGGAACAACAAUGACAGAACACAAGUGCAAAUUUAUGAAGACCAGCUGUGAAACUGCUGCUGCUGCAGAGACAGAAUGAAUUGCUGGGUGCCAGAUGUUUCUACUUGAAAGAAAAAUGCUCUGGAAAUGCUAAUUUUAAUUUUAAGAAAUCAUUCAGAACUGUUCAGAGGACAGUUUGGUAAUUCAGUUCAUACCCCAAGUAGCCCCAAAUUGAUCCAGACUUGUCAAAAUUCCCCAAAUGGAUGUGGAUUAUGAUUUAUGAAUCUGAGAAGUAACCCUCCCCCAUUUACCCUUGUGGGGAAUCUUAAUGGCUGUAAUUUAUCUGUUUAUUCACACAUCUGGAUGGAAUCUGGAGUCAUGCAAGGUCCUAAAAUGGGACUGAACUCUACAAAAUUGCAGAUAGGUAGCACUUCAUUUUGCAUUAUAUUUUACCAACCUAACAAUUGUCUGUCUAUUCUGUUUUUCAUUACUGGUAUGCAAGUCCAGUUAUUUAAUAAUUGCAUUCCAUAUGAAUAUGAACAAAUAAAAACCAGAUGACUGCAA